rnacentral:lncRNA from 1 species
CUCUGGCCCAAGGCUCUCUGACUGACUCCUUCCCAGAUCUUCUCGGCUCAGCAGCUGAAGACUGACACUGCUUGAUUGCCUGGGAAGCCUAUAGGACCAUCACAGACACUUUGGAUAACUCUUACAGUGAAGGUAAGAAGCAAGAAAAUCCACCAUAAGCUCUGAGGAACAAUCACACCAGACUGAGCAUUUUUAUUUCUUGAGCCUUUGCCUAAGAAAGAGUGUGGAUCAUACUUUCUAAUACAGUCAGGAUGGAAUAUCAAAAUGUGAAAGGCUCAGUGCUGCCUGUCGGGAGCACUGCUUCGAGGAGACCGAUCCAGAGAACUUUCAGCCUAGGGAGUACGGCGCGCAAACCCAGCUGAGGUGAAAGUCUCAUUGGGGAGCAGCUCCCAGCACAAACUGCUGAAAGGCUGGCCGCAGCCCUGCUGCCCAGAUUUCUUCUUCAGCA